rnacentral:rRNA from 1 species
GUACACUCCUGCGGGAGGCAGCAGUGGGGAAUAUUGGACAAUGGGCGCAAGCCUGAUCCAGCCAUGCCGCGUGAGUGAUGAAGGCCCUAGGGUUGUAAAGCUCUUUCACCGGUGAAGAUAAUGACGGUAACCGGAGAAGAAGCCCCGGCUAACUUCGUGCCAGCAGCCGCGGUAAUACGAAGGGGGCUAGCGUUGUUCGGAUUUACUGGGCGUAAAGCGCACGUAGGCGGACUAUUAAGUCAGGGGUGAAAUCCCGGGGCUCAACCCCGGAACUGCCUUUGAUACUGGUAGUCUUGAGUUCGAGAGAGGUGAGUGGAAUUCCGAGUGUAGAGGUGAAAUUCGUAGAUAUUCGGAGGAACACCAGUGGCGAAGGCGGCUCACUGGCUCGAUACUGACGCUGAGGUGCGAAAGCGUGGGGAGCAAACAGGAGUAGAAACCCCAGUAGUCCCAUG